rnacentral:lncRNA from 1 species
AUGGACAUUUGAAUUUGCUUGCGUCACUUUCCGGUCCUCCGCCACAAUCUUCAAACAACAAAGAUGAUGAUAACCACUGAAUUGUUCUUUAAACGUGUCUGCUUUUGAGAAAGCACAAGGAUCCAUGCCGGUUAAUUGGUCGGAGCAUCACCUCCUUCGUCCGCGUUUUCUUCGCACAAUUUGCCUACCUAAUUUCUUCCUUAUUCAACUCCUUUAAUAUCAGAACAUUCUUUUAUGUCAGGGUUGGCGGUGAGAGGAAGAAGAUGUAAGAGGUUAUUUGGACUACGUGGCUCAACUCCUGUUUUGUUUCGUGAUGGUGUUUUGUUCAUGAUAUAUGCUAAAGAAGAUUUAGAGGACAGGUUCUGAUUAUGGUUUAUCAACAUAAACCCCCGUCAAUUAAGGUGAUUGAGCUUGAUUGAGAGUGGCACUGUUGAGGACAGGGAGACGCUGGUCUCUUAGAAUAUUCAACGGAUGCGG